UAUUACACCAUCGGGAUUUCUGUUGUUUUCUACUGUAGAUCUAAGAGUAACUACUUAAAUCCUCAUUCAGAGUGUAUUACCAUAAAAUGCAAUUCAUUGUGAGAGUAGUAUCACAUGUAAACUACAAUAUACAGCAUCAUUUUUAAGUUAAGGAGUAUCCUUAUAGAUAUCUCUAUAUACUAAAACAGGGGCCAAUGUAGGUAACGUAUACUUAGACUGAUUUCCUUUCUAUAUGUUACAUUUAGAGUAAUGUUUAAAAGUUACUUCAUUUAGCAGGGUGUAGCUUUUUUCUCUUCUUAUUCUUUUUUAUACUGGAACUUCAUUGUUUCUGUAUAAGGUGGUACUUUUAAGACACCUCUGCCUAACUACAGUGAACUAACCAGAAGUCUCGGAAUAUGCUCUGGUGGUCAUUUUACACAAGUUCAGGUGUCACAUCCAUGAAACCUACACCACUAACCAGCAUCAGUCCUACAACUUCACUCUCAAAUUUAAUAAAUCCUGGGACAAGCAGAAACUGUAUUUUUAGCGGUGCAUUUUGUGGCAGGCCAGACUGCUAUAAAAUGCACUCUCCUUGUAGCACCACUUCGUCUUGGUUCAGAAGAGAUGUCCUGGAUAUACAUGAUAAUGUAACACGGGUGUUUUUGUUUGUUCAUGUUUAGCGCGUUGGGUUGUGUUUUUAAAGCCAAUGUUACGUUUUUAAAGCGUGUUAUGCGACAGGUGUGUGUAGCACUGGUUACACAUCUCAGAGCAAUAGUCGAGACCACACCUUUACCUGACGUACAACGUGACGUAUGGCGCACACUUUCAAAACAACAAUGGCGGAUAGAAGAUAUUGAUCGAGGCGGCUAAUGCUCCUUUCGCUGGUUGCCAACCACCAUUAAAUAACAAGAAGAAGAAAAUAUUGAUCUGCUUUUCUUAGCUUUGCACGUUUAAGAUGCAAUUCAAACUCAAACAAAGCUGCAAAGCAGGAGAACAACAUGACCAUCAACUAUUCUGUGCCACAGAUCCAGCUCGCUGCAGCACAGAGUGAUGAUGAGACGGUGGAAGAACAACAGAGACAAUUUACGGACCGUUAACAUGUGGAACUUAGAAGUAGUCAGAGGUAACUGGAUGGAGUUCAGUCAGGUUAAAUGCACGGUUGAUUGGAUUAUAUCUGAAGAUCGUAUGCUAUUCAUGACAACUCUGCUAGACUCCAAAUUUCUCGUCCAUGCGGGAGUAUCUCAAAAGUAAAUGAAACAACUAAACUUAACACUUUUCCCUAAAACGGACUGACAUGGGAAACAUUAAAGUUGGACUGACACCAGCUAAUCAGUCUGAAGGAAUCACAGAACAAGAAGGGAGACCACUGAGGAGAAGUUUUAUAAGUUCACGGGUGACCUCAGCUGUCAAGUUCCUGGAUGUGGGUAUGCUGCACGAAACUGUACAACUCUGUGCCCAUCUCAGAUUUCACAUCAAAGACGGGAAAAAAGUAUUAUGUCCAUUUGAAGAUCGCUCUAAAUACUUCAGUGUCCGAACAUCAUUUUCCAGCCGUAUUUCUCGAAAACAUAAGUAGACAGUUCAGCAGUCAAG